GACGAACGCUGGCGGCGCGCUUAACACAUGCAAGUCGAGCGAGAACCGGCCUUCGGGCCGGGGAAAGCGGCGAACGGUUGAGUAACACGUGGGUAAUCUGCCCUCGGCACCGGGAUAGCCCGGGGAAACCCGGAUUAAUACCGGAUGGCCCUUUGAGUCCUCGGAUUCAAAGGAAAAGGUAGCUUCGGCCUCCGGCCGAGGGCGAGCCCGCGGCGGAUUAGCUUGUUGGUUGGGUAACGGCCUACCAAGGCGACGAUCCGUAGCUGGUCUGAGAGGACGAUCAGCCACACUGGGACUGAGACACGGCCCAGACUCCUACGGGAGGCAGCAGUGGGGAAUCUUGCGCAAUGGGCGAAAGCCUGACGCAGCGACGCCGCGUGAGGGAAGAAGGCCUUCGGGUUGUAAACCUCUUUCAGGAGGGACGAAGCCACUCGGGUUAAUAGCCCAGAGGGUGACGGUACCUCCAGAAGAAGCCCCGGCUAACUACGUGCCAGCAGCCGCCGUAACAC
rnacentral:rRNA from 1 species